UAAGAUGAUGCCUCAAGACAGGACAGG
rnacentral:piRNA from 1 species